CUCCACCUGCUGCCACUCCACCUGCUGCCGCUCCACCUGCUGCCACUCCACCUGCUGCCACUCCACCUGCUGCCACUCAGAGCAGGCCCCUGACGGCGUUAACGCUCUGCUGGCACGUGGGAAGCAUUUGUCUCCCUCACAGUUGGCACGAAAAAUUGUUUCUCCAGCCAAACCCUCUCCAGUGCCACGUGUCUCCUCUCCGUCUACAUCCGCUGCCUGCAGACAGCUCUUUAACUGUGACGCUGUUGCUGCUGCUGGGGAUUUUUUUAAGGAGCAAGACGACCAGGAGACGGUGACUGUGGCCUCGCAAGCUGAGGAAAAACUUCCUCAAGAGAAUUAGCUCUGAUCCCAGUGUCAGUCUACACUCACUCUUCAAAGCAAAAAGGGUAUUUAAAGGUGUAUGUUUAUUUCAUUUUAUCCCGAUCAGCGACUAAAGCUCCUUGUUGUCGUCUCACAUGUCCCCUGCUCCCCCCC